AGAGGGAUAGCUGGGUCAAAUGGUGAUGCCAUUCCAAGUUUUUCAAGAAAUCUCCAUACUGCUUUUCAGAUUGGCCGCACCAUUUUGCAGUCCCACUAGAAU
rnacentral:pre_miRNA from 1 species